rnacentral:lncRNA from 1 species
CUUAACACUAAGCCCAUAGGUUUCAGAAAAACAAGGAUGGCAAUACAUGCAACACUCGUUAUAAAAUUGAACUCUUUUCAAAUUGAUCGAUCGAACUUGUUUUUAUGUAUGAGCUCAACAUUUUUGGAGGUAAAGAACUAUAGUUGAGAUGCUAUACCUGUAGCGUUGUUUGUGUCCUUACAGGCUAUUGAUGGUGGUAUUUGUCACCUGCUGUAGUGGAACUAAUUUUCUUAAUUUUUAUUAUUCUUAACAGUAUGAUGUGAGCUGUGAGUGUUCUUCGCAACAUAAUCAACCAUUGACAUCUUCAUUCUACGUAAAUGACUUCACCCCGACUCAUGCCUUUUACACCAGACUAGACCUUUGUAAUCUGUAAAUGAAGACUUAUUACAAGGGUGUAUAUAUGGUUGAAGGAAUGAAGUAGCCGACUCAUUUAUGGUUGUAUGUAGAUUAUUGACUGUAUAAAGGUCAAGAAGCACUGAAGCAGGCUGGUAGGCAUUAAGCGUAGCUGUGAUAUGCAUAUAUCAUCACCUCUUGGCGUUCAUCAAGUCAGCCUUGAUCAUUUCUCGCCUUCAUUAGAUCGUCCAAGGCAGCUCGAUUCUCCUUUAGUUCUGACAGGUUACCAUGGAAAUUCUCCUUCAUUUCCUCAUCCAAUUUUCUCCGAUUACCAAAAUCAUGGUCAUCAGUCCUAUGGAUAAGAAGUGCUCGCGCGAUCUCUUCCUGGCAUUUUCCUGCAUUUUCAAAACAGAAUGCGGUGAAUACAUCAUUCAACUGAAAAAAUAAAGAACAACAUUUUUAGUAAAAUUAAAUAAUGAAUGCGAAUGAGCCUGUGUCUCAGUGCUCAAUGGUGGCACUCCUCUCACAAAGUGGAGAGGUUGUUUGGUUUGGAAUACGUCAACGGCUGAGUGUUGAUAUAAGUUUUCACACAUAAUUAAAAGGGGGUAGGGUCCCCUUAACUCUGCUCACUAAUCAAUAAAUAAAAAAAAAAAGGCUUGCAGCGCAGUUUGUAGCUGGGCUAAUGAAUGAAAUUUGAUCGGAUCCAUAUUCAUAUCAAAAUUAUAAUUUUCUUGUUGGACUUAGAUCUGAACCAUUCUAAUUGGACUCGAAUACGAACUAUUAUCUUGCCUGACAAACAAAAAUGACAGACUUAGCUGACAAACAGAUAAACAAAUGAAAGUGAUGUGAGAGAGGAUGAAGGAAUUGUGGGGGGAGUUUGUCAUUAUGAUUUAUUUAGAUCUACCGAUAAAUUUGUAUCAAAAUCAUAUUUCUAUUUAUACAAAAUUUCUUAACUAUUAAAAAAGAUUUAAAUUAAAAUUGGAAUUAAAAUUUAUUGAACAAAAGGCUUACCAAUUACAGAACUGGGAUUAGACCUGUGACCUCAAACCCAGAACCAAAUUUAAUUUCCAAUCUCACACCAGCCUCCAUUGAUUCAAAUUGAAAAUAACGACCAACGAAGAACAAUUCUUAAUGCUUUGAAAUAUUGAGAAAAUGGUGAACAACCUAUGGUUCUAUAUAGAGAUAGGUAGUUACCACACCAACUAUUUACUCGUGGCUAUGUCUCUUUG